rnacentral:rRNA from 1 species
AUUGAACGCUGGCGGCAGGCCUAACACAUGCAAGUCGAGCGGAUGAAGGGAGCUUGCUCUUGGAUUCAGCGGCGGACGGGUGAGUAAUGCCUAGGAAUCUGCCUGGUAGUGGGGGAUAACGUCCGGAAACGGGCGCUAAUACCGCAUACGUCCUGAGGGUGAAAGUGGGGGAUCUUCGGACCUCACGCUAUCAGAUGAGCCUAGGUCGGAUUAGCUAGUUGGUGGGGUAAAGGCCUACCAAGGCGACGAUCCGUAACUGGUCUGAGAGGAUGAUCAGCCACACUGGAACUGGGACACGGUCCAGACUCCUACGGGAGGCAGCAGUGGGGAAUAUUGGACAAUGGGCGCAAGCCUGAUCCAGCCAUGCCGCGUGUGUGAAGAAGGUCUUCGGAUUGUAAAGCACUUUAAGUUGGGAGGAAGGGCAGUAAGUUAAUACCUUGCUGUUUUGACGUUACCAAAAGAAUAAGCACCGGCUAACUUCGUG